rnacentral:lncRNA from 1 species
CAGGGAUGUUAAAACGGGCUUACCCGCCCAUUUACGUCCAAGCCCGUUUACGUCCAAACCCGUUUAAUAGAUGUCCAUUUAAAACCCGUUUAAAUCAGACCCGUUUAGAGCCCGUUUAUGUGAAGCCCAUUUAACACUAAACCCGUUUCAAACCCGUUUCAAGCCCGUUUACUUAAAAAAAAAAUGAACAUGAUCUAUUUAUAUCAUAGCUUAUCUUUUCGAUGAAACCUGUUAAAUACCUGUCAAAUAAAAUAUGAAUCCAGAACCUUACAUUGUUUUGCUUCAACUAAAAAUUCAAAGUUUACAAAUCACAGUCACAGCAUAAUUGAAAAAUAAAGUUCACACUUCACACUAAGUGUCCAUAAGUUACUCUUUUCCUUCUUGAACGUCUACCAGGAUCUGUCCAUGUUCAAAACAUAACAUAUUAUAUAUUUUCAUCAAAAAAAUUAUAAACUGAUGUAAAACAGAACCAGAAAACUAUGUACCUUUGUUCCAGCAAACAUAUCAAUCUUUUGAUGUUGAAGACUCCACUCCAUAAUUACUUGCUUUCUUUCCAACAUCUUCAUUUUCAUCAAAGAGAUCUUCAAUGGCACCUACAAAGUAUAAUAUGAAUUAGUUAUAAGAAAAUAUAGUCAUAAAAUAAAACGGCCUUUUAGCAUUACCUUUGUAUUCAGCAAAACCGCGCAACCAAUUCCUAGUGCAAAGAAGAGCUUGGACAUUUUUAGGCAAGAGACGGUUUCGGUAUGGAGUUAAAACCCGGGAUCCAAUGCUAAAGGCAGACUCUGAAGCUACUGUGGUGAUCGGAAUGCUGAGGAUGUCACGUGCCAUCGAUGCUAAAUCUCCAAAUCGAUGUUGGUUCUCUUUCCAAUAAUUCAAGACAUCCAAAUCCAAGUUAGCCCUUCUGUUCAGCCUUGGCUCUUCCAAAUAUAUAUCCAAAUGUGUCUUUGGGUUGCCAACUCCACCUCCAAUGCUCUUUUCCAACUCAAAAAAAUCCUUCAUUAUGAACAUUUAUAUCAGAUAAACAAUUUCAAGAUAAAGCAUGACUGAAAUUAUCUAAAAUUAUAUUAAAUUACUUACAUUAUCAUAAUCAUCUUCAAGUGGAGAUUCUGUGACAAUCUCUUGUGGAGUUGGUGUGAGUGAAACACCUGAAGAACUUGUUUGAGACCGUUUCUGAUAGUCUUUGUAGAGUGCAGACAAACUAUCCUUGAGUUCUUUUAUCUUUAAACUUGAAGUAGAGGGAUCCAAUUUCUUAUAAGCAGCUUCAAGCAUCUCAAUCUUUAUUCUUGGAUCUAAAGCUGCUCCCAUAGCCAAGAUUACACUGUAACUUUUCCAGUAUUUAUCAAACUUAACUUGCAUCUCUCUGGCCAUUUCUCUCACUCCAUCAUCAUCACAUUCUGCAUAUCUCUUCAAUAACAAUUGUAUCCUCCAUACUUGUGUGAAGUAGACAUUCGAAGUAGGAUACUUUGAACCCGAAAAAGAAGUCGUGAUAGCACUGAAUGGCUUCAAAAGGUCACAGAUUUUUGCCCCACGUUUCCACUCAUCCUCUGUAGGCAACGUCUUAUACUUUGGAUCAUACAACUCCAUGCUAGCAAAUGCAGCCUUAAACUUGAGAGCUCUGAAAAGCAUCUCAUAUGUAGAGUUCCAGCGAGUAGGAACAUCAAGUGACAACCCCAAUCCACUUGUAAUUCUUACUCUCUCUACACAUGCCGCAAAUGCUUCUUGUCUUUGUGGCGAUGCUUUCACAUAUCUAACACUUUCUCGGAUAUUAUGCAGAAGACUGUUCGCUAAUGCUAAGCCACUUUUCACUAUGAGGUUUAGAAUAUGAGCACAGCAUCUCACAUGUAUGUGUUUACCAUCAGACAACAAACCUCCAUCGCUUCCACCAAUCAUCUGAAGCUUACCCUUGAGGAUUCUCAGCAUACUGUUGUUGUUGGUGGCAUUGUCCAACGUCAUCGAGAAAACCUUCUUCUCCAAACCCCAUCCCUUCAAUGACUCAAAAACCUUAUUAGCUAUUUCCUCACCAGUAUGUGGAGACUUCAUCUCACAAAAUUUUAAGAUCUUGCUGUGUAAUCUCCAGCCAUCAUCAAUAUAAUGUCCAGUUAAGCAGAUAUAACCCAUGUUUUGAGGACGAGCUACCCAUAAAUCAGCGGUGAGACAAACCCUACCACGGUGCUUCACAAACAGCCCUUUCAACUUCUCUUUCUCUAUUUCAUAUCUCCUAUAAACAUCAAGAGCAGCAGUCUGUCUACAGAUAUGUUGAACGUCAGGAUUUAAAUACCUAUCUCUUUCUCUAACUUUCUCAUAUUCCACGUAUCGAAAUGGUAGAUCAUGGUAAAUGAUAGACUCAGUAACCAUCUCACGAUCUACCAUAUGAUCAUACACAUGCUUAUCUACCUUCUUAGGCAUCUUAGAACAAAACUCUAAAUGCCGUUUCAACUGAUUUGUACCAUGAGUCUUACCAACCACUAAUUUUGAAUCACAAUGAAUGCACUUAGCCCUUUCUUUUCCAUCCUCUUCUACCCCCACUAGUACAAAAUCUUUCCAAACAAGUGAAGUUUUUCGACGCUUACGUUGAGGUUUCGCUGCUUGUGUUGAUGCAGUGGCUUGUGGUUCACACUGAACUUCUGCUUCUGCUUCUGUUUCUG